rnacentral:sRNA from 1 species
UUCAGGCCUUCAGCCCUCCGCCGGGAUAUAAACAUCGAUACCCCACCCUUGCGGGAUGGGGCUGAAAUAUGUCGGGCUUUCAGCCCUUGGGCCUCGGGCGAGCUAACCCCUUCGGGGCGUUGAGGUGUUGAGGUGUUUAAUUGUUGAGCUGUUGAGCUGUUGAGCUGUUGAGCUGUUGAGGUGUUGAGUUGUUGAAUUGUUGAGGUGUUUAGCUGCCCGCUGUAAAAGCCCUGAAAGGGCGCGUUAAUUCAGCCCAAUGUGCAGCGAAGCGAAGCGUUGGGAAAAAAGGCGUCCCUCCCCCUCGGCGGAGGGCUGAAAGCCUGACGUAAUUCAAUUGUCAAUGGUCAAUGGUUAUGCCGGGUACACGGUAUCCGAACGCAAAUUUCGCAAAUGGCGCAAAUCAACGCAAAUAACCGCGUUUGUCAUUCCGAACACCUCCUCUUGUCAUUCCGAACGCAGUGAGGAAUCUCACCCCGGAAAAGAAAGGAGAUUCUUCGCUUACGCUCUGAAUGACAAAGGAUCGAACGCAGAGGAACAUCCCCCCCCCAGUUUUUUAUCCUUGUA